rnacentral:tRNA from 1 species
GGGGGUAUAGCUCAGUGGUAGAGUGUGUGCUUAGCAUGCAUGAGGUCCUGGGUUCAAUCCCCAGUGCCUCCA